AACGAACGCUGGCGGCGUGCCUAACACAUGCAAGUCGUGCGAGAAAGUUCCUUCGGGAGCGAGUAAAGCGGCGCACGGGUGAGUAACACGUAGGUAACCUGCCCCCCAGUCUGGAACAACUAGAGGAAACUCUAGCUAAUGCCGGAUGAGACCACGAUCCCUUCGGGGGUUGCGGCCAAAGAUGGCCUCUACUUGUAAGCUAUCGCUGAGGGAUGGGCCUGCGGGCCAUUAGCUUGUUGGUGAGGUAACGGCUCACCAAGGCUGUGAUGGCUAGCUGGUCUGAGAGGAUGACCAGCCACACUGGGACUGAGACACGGCCCAGACUCCUACGGGAGGCAGCAGUGGGAAUAUUGCGCAAUGGGGCGAAAGCCUGACGCAGCGACGCCGCGUGGGUGAGUGAAGGG
rnacentral:rRNA from 1 species